CCUACGGGAGGCAGCAGUGGGGAAUAUUGCACAAUGGGGGAAACCCUGAUGCAGCGACGCCGCGUGAAUGAAGAAGUAUUUCGGUAUGUAAACUUCUAUCAGCAGGGAAGAAAAUGACGGUACCUGACUAAGAAGCCCCGGCUAACACCGUGCCAGCAGCCGCGGUCAUACGUAGGGGGCAAGCGUUAUCCGGAUUUACUGGGUGAAAAGGGAACGGAGGCGGUUUAGCAAGUCAGAAGUGAAAGCCCGGGGCUCAACCUCCGAAGUGCAUUUGACACUGUUUUUCUGGAGUACUGGAGAGGCAGACGGAAUUCCUGGUGUAGCGGUGAAAUGCGUAGAUAUAAGGAGGAACACCAGUGGCGAAGGCGGUCUGCUGGACAGCAACUGACGGUGAGGUGCGAAAGCGUGGGGAGCAAACAGGAUUAGAUACCCCAGUAGUC
rnacentral:rRNA from 1 species